GUGAUUAUAUUUUUUAGCUUGUGUGCACAAGCCAAACAUUUAAAAUAACUAAUUUUUCGGGGUGUAACAAAGGAGCAUAGACAGGAAAAUGAAGGGACUCCAAAUUCCCGUCUACAAAGAGUGCACAGGGACAAAAUUCAAAAGGAGGGAGUAAAGGAGUGCACAAUGCGAAAAGAGAGCAUCUUUUGCCAGCACAUCCCUUUCCCGUGAAUCAAUAAUGAUCCUUCCGCAGGUUCACCUACGGAAA
rnacentral:misc_RNA from 1 species